GGCACUAUGGCCUGUAGGAUAAGGCGUCUGACUUCUAAUAAGAAGAUUGCAGGUUCGACCCCUGCUUGGGUCA
rnacentral:tRNA from 1 species